CCCGCUGAACUUAAGCAUAUCAAUAAGCGGAGGAAAAGAAACUAACAAGGAUUCCCUUAGUAACUGCGAGUGAAGUGGGAAAAGCUCAAAUUUAGAAUCUGGCAGUCACUUGGCUGUCCGAGUUGUAAUCUAGAGAAGUGUUGCCCGUGCUGGACCAUGUACAAGUCUCCUGGAAUGGAGCAUCACAGAGGGUGAGAAUCCUGUCUUUGACAUGGACUGCCAGUGCUUUUGUGGUACGCUCUCAAAGAGUCGAGUUGUUUGGGAAUGCAGCUCAAAAUGGGUGGUAAAUGCCAUCUAAAGCUAAAUAUUGGCGAGAGACCGAUAGCGAACAAGUACCGUGAGGGAAAGAUGAAAAGAACUUUGAAAAGAGAGUUAAACAGUGCGUGAAAUUGUUGAAAGGGAAACGUUUGACACCAGUCAUGUGGGUGGAAAAUCAGUCUUUUGCAUUGGGGAGUUGUAAGGGUUCGGACCGCAAGGCCGGCUUUUGCUUCAUCUUUGGUGUAAGUGAUGCACUUUUUCAUCUACAGGUCGACAUCAGUUUCUUUUGCUGGACAAAACUCCGAGAGAAGGUAGCAGCUUAGGCUGUGUUAUAGCUCUGGAGCGAUACAGUGAAGGGGACUGAGGUUUUCGCAGCGUGUGCUCUCGGGCAAGGCUGGAUGGGUGCUAUGGGAUCGUUCGGGGUACAAUGCCUGGCAUUUUGCUUCGUGUCUUUUCUAUACUCGCUCAACUCAGCUCUUCCACGCUUAGGAUGUUGACUUAAUGGUUUUAAACGACCCGUCUUGAAACACGG
rnacentral:rRNA from 1 species